UGGGGAAUAUUGCACAAUGGGCGCAAGCCUGAUGCAGCCAUGCCGCGUGUGUGAAGAAGGCCUUCGGGUUGUAAAGCACUUUCAGCGGGGAGGAAGGCGUUAAGGUUAAUAACCUUGGCGAUUGACGUUACCCGCAGAAGAAGCACCGGCUAACUCCGUGCCAGCAGCCGCGGUAAUACGGAGGGUGCAAGCGUUAAUCGGAAUUACUGGGCGUAAAGCGCACGCAGGCGGUCUGUCAAGUCGGAUGUGAAAUCCCCGGGCUCAACCUGGGAACUGCAUUCGAAACUGGCAGGCUAGAGUCUUGUAGAGGGGGGUAGAAUUCCAGGUGUAGCGGUGAAAUGCGUAGAGAUCUGGAGGAAUACCGGUGGCGAAGGCGGCCCCCCGGACGAAGACUGACGCUCAGGUGCGAAAGCGUGGGGAGCAAACAGG
rnacentral:rRNA from 1 species